rnacentral:rRNA from 1 species
UCCAAAGAAACUUUCUGAAGAAGCUGUGUGCUCGGAAGCUUAGCAGAGUCGGACCUGCUUAGUACUUGGAUGGGAGACCACCAGGGAAUACCAGGUGUCGUUUGGAG